GAAUAGCCUGCCUACCACCAUCAGACUCUCCCCUAGUCUUCAAUUGUUUAAAAAGUGCCUUAAAACCCAUCACUUCAGGAAAGCGUAUGGACUCCCAGAGUAACCUCUACCUCACAUACUCUUGCUCUCUCCUAAAGGGCAGCAUUCUACUCUCUCACCCAGCUCUGCCUCACUCCCACCUUGUUUGAUUGCUACCUCCUGUCCUGUUGGGUUUUACACCCCACCUCCUAUAGACUGUAAGCUUGUUUGAGC